rnacentral:rRNA from 1 species
UGGCGGCAGGCCUAACACAUGCAAGUCGAGCGGAAACGAGUUAUCUGAACCUUCGGGGRACGAUAACGGCGUCGAGCGGCGGACGGGUGAGUAAUGCCUAGGAAAUUGCCCUGAUGUGGGGGAUAACCAUUGGAAACGAUGGCUAAUACCGCAUAAUGCCUACGGGCCAAAGAGGGGGACCUUCGGGCCUCUCGCGUCAGGAUAUGCCUAGGUGGGAUUAGCUAGUUGGUGAGGUAAUGGCUCACCAAGGCGACGAUCCCUAGCUGGUCUGAGAGGAUGAUCAGCCACACUGGAACUGAGACACGGUCCAGACUCCUACGGGAGGCAGCAGUGGGGAAUAUUGCACAAUGGGCGCAAGCCUGAUGCAGCCAUGCCGCGUGUGUGAAGAAGGCCUUCGGGUUGUAAAGCACUUUCAGUCGUGAGGAAGGUGGUGUAGUUAAUAGCUGCAUUAUUUGACGUUAGCGACAGAAGAAGCACCGGCUAACUCCGUGCCAGCAGCCGCGGUAAUACGGAGGGUGCGAGCGUUAAUCGGAAUUACUGGGCGUAAAGCGCAUGCAGGUGGUUUGUUAAGUCAGAUGUGAAAGCCCGGGGCUCAACCUCGGAAUAGCAUUUGAAACUGGCAGACUAGAGUACUGUAGAGGGGGGUAGAAUUUCAGGUGUAGCGGUGAAAUGCGUAGAGAUCUGAAGGAAUACCGGUGGCGAAGGCGGCCCCCUGGACAGAUACUGACACUCAGAUGCGAAAGCGUGGGGAGCAAACAGGAUUAGAUACCCUGGUAGUCCACGCCGUAAACGAUGUCUACUUGGAGUUGUGGCCUUGAGCCGUGGCUUUCGGAGCUAACGCGUUAAGUAGACCGCCUGGGGAGUACGGUCGCAAGAUUAAAACUCAAAUGAAUUGACGGGGGCCCGCACAAGCGGUGGAGCAUGUGGUUUAAUUCGAUGCAACGCGAAGAACUUA